AUGCAAGGAAAAGUUUUCCAUGUAGUUGAUAGCUUUUUUUUUUUUCUUCCCUUCUUUCUCUCUCUCUCUCUCUCCAUUGACUUGGAAAUAUUUCCUCCUUGUAUCUCUAGGGGCAGGAACUCUAAAAACAAAAUUGGAUGGUUUCUCCUCCCUCCUCACCCUGGAUCCCUUAUAGGAAUCACAGAUGGAUGAUUUUGAGAUGAGCCUUCAAGGAAAAUGUAUCUUUCUCUCCAUCAAUGUCAACUGUAAGAGAGAAUUUGGGCCCUGAAAAUAAAAGUUUUGGCCUCUCUCUGACCUGUAUUACAAGGACUCUUCAAAGUUAUGUCUAGGAAAGUCUGUACUAAAAACAGGAUUAAACUAGAAUGGAUGUGUAAAAGUUGGGUAUUUUUUGUAAAAACGUUCAGUGGUAGAACUGAGGAAGAAAUGGAGCUUUUUCAACUGUAAUCCACUGGUCUGAAUUCAGCCCAGGUCAGUAGUGGUUGUGGUUGGGAUUUUCACAGGAGACUUAAGGGCUUUAGAUGGCAUGCCGCUUUAGGCGCUUUUUGAAAAUCCCAGAUAUUUUUAAAGCUCUUAGUCACUGUAAUAUCUGUGGACUUGUACAAAAUUGAGGCUACGGAUAGUUAAUCAACAUUGGUCUAUUUAUAUUGCUGGGUCCAAAAUUACUUUCCACUCUUCUGUGAAUUUACUUUCCUGUGUCCACUGUCUGUCUUGUAUUACCAACACCAUUUAGAUUAGGCUGAGAUUUUCAAAUGUGCACAGGAUUUGGACUCUCAGUUCCCAUUAAAAAAAUUAAUGGGAAUUUAACAGGCAUAUGCCAUAGACUUGAAAAUCCUUAACCUAAAUGUAUUUAAACUACGUCUCCCUCAGUCGCCUGACACCAGCGCAGACCCUUAUUUCAUGCUCCUAAUGUUGUCAUCCUCUCUAAUCCUUUUUUCUCUCCACCCCAAAUAUGUAGAUCCUUUCCCACUAAGUGGGCAGCCAUCACUGCACAUCACCUACAUAUUACAGCUCUUGUGUUGAACAGCAGGGAGGCAGUGAGAGAGAUGGAGCUGAGCACUAGGGCUGUGUGAACUGACUUCAGCAAUGUGUGGUUUUGAGUUUAGACAUCCUGGGUUACAUGGAAGUCAGGACAAAAUCUCAAUGUCAUGAGCAGAGAUGCCAAGCUGGACCCUCAAAACCAGGGCCAUCCCAGAAAACAUGGGCCAUUUGGUCAUCAAGAGUUUUAACGGGUUUGUAGGGAUUCAGCUGAACAUAAAAAAAACAAGCAUUUCCCCAAAACCAUGUUUUUAAAGCAGGAUGAAUCUAAAAAUGUUGUAAUUAUCCUAUUUGUCAAUCAUUUGGAACUCCUCCUUAUGCAGAACUUGCAGUUUUAUUCUUUUCAUGUGAUUUGCCUUUUUACUGUGUGUGACAGUCUCACUCAAUUUGAUAGCAUUUCUGUGUAUUUGUCUGUACAUGUGUAAUGUGAUCACUUUUCAACACUAUGCUCUCCUUUCCAGUUUUUUCAGGGAAUAUUUGAGGUGCUGAGGGCCAAGAAUCUAUUGAUUUUGGAGAAAAUUGGAAAACUGAAGGGGAAAGUGGAGAGGGAGAGAGAGCUGGAUGGAUACACAGAGCCCCUGCUAGCUGUGUAGCACAACUGCAGAUUCAAGCAACUCAGCAAUUAACUAUAGACUCAAGAACUGGUUAAUGGCAGCCAUUAACCCCUUUUCCCCCAUAACAAUGCCCCUAUCUAAUGUGUGUGUCCUGCUGUCAUAAACAGAUAGCUAAAGGUUAAUGUCUCUUUCACCUGUAAAGGGUUAACAAACAGUGACCUGCAACACCUGACCAGAGGACCAAUCAGGAAACAAAAUACUUUCAAAUCUGGGUGGAGGGAAGCCUUUUUGUUUUUUUGGGUUUGUGCGUUGUUCUCUCUGGGUCCUGGACGGGACUAGAGGUGCAACCAGGUUUUUGCCAAUCUCCCUGCUACAGUUUCUUAUCUAUUCAGAAUUGUGAGUAAGAAAAAAGGCGGUUAUAGUCUUUUAAUUUGUUUUUCUUUUUUGCAUAUGUGUACUUGCUGGAAGUAGCUUAAAUUGUGUUUCUGCUGGAGAAAGUUUCUUUCUAUUGUUUAUAAGUUGAAAGACCCUGUAACUUUUUACCAUCUCAAUUGCAGAGAUAAACC
ensembl:lncRNA